rnacentral:lncRNA from 1 species
UCUUGCCUUCCUGUGUGAGUCAGCGUGGCUGCCCUUGUGCACGCCAGGCUCCUGUCUGUGCUCCGGGGCCUGUUUCCUGGCCUCCCCAGAUGAGGAAACUGAGGCACAAAAAGGUGAAGUCCUGAGCUCACAGUCAUGCAACCAGCAGGUGGUGAAACACACCUCCAAGCUGCCUGCCUCCUAAGCAUCAAGCUUUGUGGCCCAGGAUCUACUUCAUGCUCCAAAUAUUCAUGGACCUUCCCAGGACCUCAACAAAACAAAACCAUGAAGAAAAACCUUGACAUGAACCCCAAAAAAACCCAGUCAGCAAUAUUUUAAGUUAAAUUUUGAAACAAAUCCAAACGGGUUCCUCCCCAUAAAUCUACCAGUAAAUUGUGCAGAAUCAGAACUGAAGCCAUGCCCUUUCUUAAAGUAUUGAAUUAGAAUAAAUGAGAACAUCUAAAUAUUUUCCAAAUUCAUAUUCCAGUUAUAAUAUUCAAGUUUCUUAGUUUCUCUCUGUUCACAUUCAACAUGAAAUAGUCCCAUUAGUCAGUAGCAAGAGCUGCAACAUUUCUACAGGUACUAAAGGAUGUGAUCAGAGCAGGGAAGAUGGCCAACAAGAUGAUGCCACUCUAGCGGGUGCCCAUCCAAAUCAUAACCCAUGAAUACUGCGGCUUUAUUAUCUUGGACAACAGAAAGCUGAUCUUGUAAUUGGAUGAUCACCCCUGCUUGCAUGCUUUCGAGUAGUUACGUAUGACAAAAGGAGCUACUGGUUUUGUGAUGAUGGGUUUCUGGGUAAACCCUAGAUGCAGAAGCAGCUUUUAAGCAUAGCAGAGCAAGAGUCAAAUGGUUCUGAAAAAAGUUUUAACUCUGAGAUGACUUCUCCCCGCUUCUUUCACUCUACCCUCUCAAUCCUAGAGCAAGUGAGCAGAGUAGGUAAAGCUGUUUCCUCCAGAAAGAUGAUCCAUAUUUUAAACAGCUCUGUGAAUGGGGCACUAAGACUCAGAAGAUCUGGUUUUCAGUUCGCAUUCUGCCUUUAACUGGUCUUGAAAGUUUGGGCAACUCAAUUAUCUCAUGGAGUCAGUAUUUGCAUCUGUACAGUGGGGAUAUGAAUACCUGUCUUACCUACACGGAGCUGUAAGAGCAACAGAAUGUGAGCUGGCAUGAUGUUAUUAUAUGUAUCACCUUGGUUAUUUUAAAACAUGCUUGAUGUAUUAGC